ACUGUUGUUGAAGCCUUUCAUGCAACUAGACCAAGAUGUUUAAGGAAAAAAAAUCAAUCUUCUCCACCCCAAAAAUGUAUUAAUGACAUACCUCAAAAUGCCACCAAGCAGGGCUUAAUUGUAUGCAGUUCAGGUUUCCUGCUAAUGUGUUUCAUGCUCAGCUCUCACUUAGUUUGUUUUAAUUAUAAUUACUGUGAUUGGUUUGAUAAAUGCAUCCCAGGAGCUAAGAUCCCCAGUCCCAACAUUUUAUUUCUGUGCAAAGGAUGUUUUCAAGAAGGUGUUUUGCUUUAGGCAGCAGAAACCAGGCUGCAUGCAGUCUUAGUAGAAAAAGAAACACUUUCUUCUGCAAACAUCAGAGACCGUCUGAAAUGCUGUGCUGUUGUUUAAUUUCAUAGAGGACGGUUUGGGAGGGCAGAUGAUAGAAAAAGAAAUCGUUGGAGUUUCUUCCAUCCAUCUUACAUAACCACCUUAGUAUCAGUUUGCACUGUGUCCCCUCAGGCAAGAGGCAGUGUGUAACUGUGCUCAAACCUCCAGAAUCCUAUUUCAUGUAUGAAGAUGUUUGUCAUUCAGAAAUAAGCUCUUGGAAAUAAAUGCUUCAGCUUCUGAGGGCUGCACUGCAAGACCUGGGAGAAAAACCUGAGUACACAACUUGCCCUUGGUUGCAUACUGCCCUCUUCAGAGGGAAAAUAUUAUUCUCCCAUGCAUGCAGCAGGCUUCCGUUUGCUUUCUUCACCAAAGCCACUUUUAAUUGUUCAUUAACGCUCCCCAGCUCUGGCCAGUGAAUGCCCUUCCCUUCCCUUAGGAAUGUUCCUGGAAACUUGAACACACUGGAGCAGUUGAAAAGACAGAAGGAAGAAGAAUAAAUUGUGUUGGGCGUUUUUCUUUUUCUUUUUUUUUCUAGACGGUCUCAUUCUGUCACCCAGGCUGCAGUACAGUGGCAUGAUCAUGGCUCACUGCAGCCUCCACUACCAGGCACAGUAUCCUCCCACCUCAGCCUCCUGGUUAGCUGGCACUGCAAUGCCUGGCUAAUUUUUUGUAUUUUUCAUGAAGACAGGAUUUCACCAUGUUGCCCAGGCUGGUCUCGAACUCCUGGGGUUAAGCAAUCCAUCCACCUUGGCCUCCCAGGGUGCUGGAAUUACAGAUGUAAGUCACCACAGCAGGCCAGUGGUUUAGUUCCUAUGUGUUGAUUUUAACCAAGAAGUUGAGCUGCACUCUGGAUACCAGGCAGAAAACCAUUAUUCCAGUCUCAGAGCUUCCCUUUAACUAGUUGUGUGACCCCACAGCAAGUGGCUUCACCUUUCAUUUGUAAAAUAAGGCUCCCAAACGUCCUGCCUCCCCAACAUCCUGCCUCCCCAGAAGACAACUGCAACCUGUAUGUUUCAUGUUCUGUGCAGCAAAUGAAAACAUGUUGCAACUCAUGGAGUAACAUAGAGUUAUUUUCCCUCUUUGUUAUGUCAAUCUUAAAAAGUCUUUUGCUAAUAAAUAUUUCAUAGUCAUUGGAAGUGUCUCUCCUUUCCCUUUAUCUGCUGGAAUGUACCUUUAAAAGCAAUGGAGAUGAAUUUGAGGUGCCUUUGCCAUGGGACAUACAGAAAAAUAAAGCU
rnacentral:lncRNA from 10 species